rnacentral:rRNA from 1 species
CAUUCACGGAGAGUUUGAUCCUGGCUCAGGACGAACGCUGGCGGCGUGCUUAACACAUGCAAGUCGAACGAUGAAGCCCUUCGGGGUGGAUUAGUGGCGAACGGGUGAGUAACACGUGGGCAAUCUGCCCUGCACUCUGGGACAAGCCCUGGAAACGGGGUCUAAUACCGGAUAUGACCAUCUUGGGCAUCCUUGAUGGUGUAAAGCUCCGGCGGUGCAGGAUGAGCCCGCGGCCUAUCAGCUUGUUGGUGAGGUAACGGCUCACCAAGGCGACGACGGGUAGCCGGCCUGAGAGGGCGACCGGCCACACUGGGACUGAGACACGGCCCAGACUCCUACGGGAGGCAGCAGUGGGGAAUAUUGCACAAUGGGCGAAAGCCUGAUGCAGCGACGCCGCGUGAGGGAUGACGGCCUUCGGGUUGUAAACCUCUUUCAGCAGGGAAGAAGCGAAAGUGACGGUACCUGCAGAAGAAGCGCCGGCUAACUACGUGCCAGCAGC